rnacentral:rRNA from 1 species
UGCUAAUACCGAAUGUUGUCAAGUUUCCGCAUGGGAGCUUGAUUAAAGAUGGCCUCUACUUGUAAGCUAUCGCUUUGCGAUGGGUCUGCGUCUGAUUAGCUAGUUGGUGGGGUAACGGCCUACCAAGGCGACGAUCAGUAGCCGGUCUGAGAGGAUGAACGGCCACAUUGGAACUGAGACACGGUCCAGACUCCUACGGGAGGCAGCAGUGGGGAAUCUUCCGCAAUGGGCGAAAGCCUGACGGAGCAACGCCGCGUGAGUGAAGAAGGGUUUCGGCUCGUAAAGCUCUGUUGACGGGGACGAAUGUGCGAGAUGCGAAUAGUUUCUUGCAAUGACGGUACCCGUCGAGGAAGCCACGGCUAACUACGUGCCAGCAGCCGCGGUAAUACGUAGGUGGCGAGCGUUGUCCGGAAUUAUUGGGCGUAAAGGGAGCGCAGGCGGGAAGGCAAGUCAGUCUUAAAAGUGCGGGGCUCAACCCCGUGAUGGGAUUGAAACUGUCUUUCUUGAGUGCAGGA